UACGUAGGGGGCAAGCGUUGUCCGGAUUUAUUGGGCGUAAAGCGCGCGCAGGCGGUUCUUUAAGUCUGAUGUGAAAGCCCACGGCUCAACCGUGGAGGGUCCUUGGAAACUGGGGGACUUGAGUACAGAAGAGAAGAGUGGAAUUCCACGUGUAGCGGUGAAAUGCGUAGAGAUGUGGAGGAACACCAGGGGCGAAGGCGACUCUUUGGUCUGUAACUGACGCUGAGGCGCGAAAGCGUGGGGAGCAAACAGG
rnacentral:rRNA from 1 species